rnacentral:rRNA from 1 species
GGAGGAAUAUUGGGCAAUGGACGAAAGUCUGACCCAGCAACGCCGCGUGAAGGAUGAAGGCCUUCGGGUCGUAAACUUCUUUUGAGGGAGACGAGAAAGGACGGUAUCCCUCGAAUAAGCCACGGCUAACUACGUGCCAGCAGCCGCGGUAAAACGUAGGUGGCGAGCGUUAUCCGGAUUCAUUGGGCGUAAAGAGCUUGUAGGUGGUGCGAUAAGUUGGACGUGAAAACUUCGGGCUUAACUUGGAGAGGCCGUUCAAUACUGUUGUGCUAGAGGGCGUCAGAGGGAAGUGGAAUUCCUGGUGUAGCAGUGAAAUGCGUAGAUAUCAGGAGGAACACCCGUGGCGAAGGCGGCUUCCUGGGACGUACCUGACACUGAGAAGCGAAAGCUAGGGGAGCAAACGGG